rnacentral:rRNA from 1 species
CCCUUAGAUGUCCUGGACCGCACGCGCGCUACAAUGAUAGCUUUAAUGGGUUAAUAAACCUAAGCCGAGAAGGUUUUGGGAAAUCGUUAAAAGUAUUUGGUUUUCAUAGUGGGGAUCAACUAUUGUAACUAGUAGUUGUGAACUAGGAAUUCCUGGUACUUAGAUUUCACCAGAAUCUAGGGAUUACGUCCCUGCCCUUUGUACACACCGCCCGUCGCUCCUACCGAUUGAGCGGUCCGGUGAAGACUCAAGAGAUAUGUAGGCGCUCGGGUGACCGAACGCGUUGCGUGUCAAAUUUGUCUAAACCUUAUCGCUUAGAGGAAGGAGAAGUCGUAACA